GAAUAAGUAAAAUUUUAUUAUUGAAAGUUGUAGAAAAUCUCAUUAGAAACAUUUAGGCGAAAACCUAGUCGAAAUCCGAGUUAUAACGAAGAAGUUAUGACCAAACGAAGAUCCGUGAUAAAUCCGGAAAACACUUUGUCGCAUAAAAAUUUAGUUUUCGAUAAACUAAUUUUUAGCCUUAGUGAUGUAAAUGAAAGUUGUAGAACUCGUGAAAAUAAUCAACUUUAAUACUAAGAAUGCCAAAAUCUAACUUCGUAUGAGGAAGUUAUGAUUUUUCGAAGUUUCAGCUUAGCAGUAGACAGCUAAAAACUCGAAUUUUAGAUCGAGUGAUUUUUAGCCGACACAACCUAAACGAGAAUUGAAGGUCUCGUCAUUAGUAGUGCAACGGUAAAAAGUCUGACGAAAACGGACGUCGGAUGAAGAAGUUAUGAAUUUUUAACGGAUUUUCCUGUCCCGGUCUGUUAAAAAUAAUAAUAUUAAAAUUAAAGUCAAAAUUAGCCGACGAAGUCUAAACGAAAGUUGUAGACCAUAAUUUUAGCUACGCGUGCAUAUAAAGAACGUCAAAAACGGAGCUCGUGUGCAAAAGUUAUGGAUUUUAUAAGGUUUGGCACAUUUUUUAUUUAAUUUUCGCAUGAAUAUUGAUGAUCCACGUGGCAAUUUCUGAUUGGACCGCAGCCUCGCUGGCACCUUCUGAUUGGUCCGGAUCUCGCCCCGUGUCCGCCUUGUGUCCGAAGCAGCUUAGUCAUCCGAGCAGCUGGCAACGCGUGUCGCAACCCCCUUGCACCGAAGGCUCAGCCAAUCCGAGACCGCCACCUGCCUUCCCGUGUUGAUCUGCGAAGCGAGCCACCUGGAGCCUCGCAUGCAAGCCACAUCCGAGCCACGCAGCAGCCUCGUGCCCCUCAAUGCUGAUGCCACCGAGCUGCUUCGCUGCCUGGUUCCUUCCCAUCCGACUUCGGUCUUGCACCCUAUAAAUAAGGGGGUUGCGAGAUCUUCCGACUAGAAUCCCAAAUUUGGCAUUUUUGGCCCCCCCCCUUUUUUUUUUUUUUUAAUAUUUUCACUAUUUUAAAUUACCCCGAAGCCCCGGUAACAUUUUUAAAGCCCGGAAUACGCCCCGAAGUGUCCGGAGAGCCCGAAAAAUUUAUCUUUUCGGUUUCGAAGCUCUACCUUUUUAGAGUCCGGUUUAUAGCUAAUUCUCCCGGUUUUCGACGAAUAAAGCCAUAUUUGGAGCNNNNNNNNNNNNNNNNNNNNNNNNNNNNNNNNNNNNNNNNNNNNNNNNNNNNNNNNNNNNNNNNNNNNNNNNNNNNNNNNNNNNNNNNNNNNNNNNNNNNACGAAGUUUUUCCACCACUGUACAGAUUGAAGAAAUGAUUGUUUAAUAGAGUCGAAAGAACCGAAGAUGGUGAUCAGUACUUCGGUAGUAUCACAACUAAUGUUGUGCAAGAUUUAGAAGAAUUAAAUGAAGAUAAAAAGGAAGGCUAAUGAAAUUUUCAGACUCAAUAGGCCAAGACUUUGUGAUGUAGUAUGUAGUUCGAGUAGUAACAUUAUACAGGAUGCUCAGACUUAGUAUUUAUGAGUAGUAACCCUAUAAAAGAUGUUCAGACUUAGUAUUUAAUAAUACUAAGUGAUGAUUGACUUCUAUCCCAUCCUUAUAGAAGUUCCAUUGUGUGUUAAGCCGGCUUUAACAUACAAGAUUGGGAUGGUGAAUUGAGUCAUUUAACGGUAAAUGGUUAAGCAACUUACUUGUUUAAGUAAUGUAGAAUGCUUAAUUGAAGAAGAAAUACACCCAUAGUAUCGUAUGAGAAGAGAUGUUGUAGUCAGGAAUGACAGCUAGUAGAGCUUGCUGAGAUGCAGCUAAGAUGCAGGCUUCUUAGGAUAGACUCUUAUGAAGUAGACUUAGGCUUACUCAGAUAUAAGAAUCACGAUUUCAAGGAAGAAUAAUGAAAUGAACAAAUGUGCAUGAUGGUUUGCAUGAGUUAGAAGAUGAUGCAGAUAGUAGAGGACCGUUUGUAUCCAUGCUGCUAGAGUAAAUUUUGGAACAGUGUGUCUUGUAAAGUAGACACUACUCAAGAAAGAAUUUAUAUGAAGAAAUGGAAGUAAAAUUUCUAUCGACCUAUGGAAAAGUAUUAGGAUAUAUUAAAGCGAGCAUAUGCAUGAGAAGAAUCCUAGAAGGCGAGUAUAGGUAAUCCAAUAUAUGUUUGAUAAAAACGUGAAAACCCUAUUUGAGUCUAGGAGAAACUGUUGUAUGUAUUUGUUUGAACACAUUCAUGUGUGAUAAGUUGCUUUGUGGAAACUUUUGAAUGGUGACUUGGGAACUGCGAGACAAUACUUGGGACGAGUAUGAGUAGGUGUGAAUAGUAGUAGAGGCCUAUACUACUGGAAGCACAUGACUCACACUUGGAUCAGGAAAAGUCACAAGGUUACCAAGAAGCUAUUAAAUGAUUUCGUUUUAUUCAUGUGUGUCGUUACCUUCGUUUCGGUAAUGACUAAGAAGAUAAUUAUCGUUCAAAUCUUAAUGUCAUAAAGAAUCGAGUCCGAUUAGUAUAAAUCCGCGAAAGGAGUUGAUUGGUUCAGAGAACCAUGUCUCAUAUAGUGACGAAACUUCAGUAGGAAUACUGAAGAAGUAAAUGGUCAAGGUAGUCGAUAGAAAUAUAAGGAUCUUCAUUAAAGAAUUGAGCAAUCAUUUGCCAGAGAUAUGACUUGCUAUGUGGUGUUACUGGACACAAGAAAUAUUUCUGCCCUACUCUUACUAGUCAAAUGGCAGGGAGUCAAGUUUCCAUUCAACAAUCAAAGAGUACUCAAACUAAAAAGGAGGAGGUACCAAAAGCUAAAAGAUAUGUAGGUUCGAAAGCACGAAUUAGAGAUACGUGGCGCUAUUCUUUCUAUUCCAAAGCAUCUACGUGUUGAUCAAACUCUUUUUGUUUUCGCUAUUCUAUCAGCUCGAUUUAUUCGAUCUGAUUCUAAUACAAGAGUUUGGAUCGUUAUGUGUCUUGUGCGAGAUAAAAUCAAAGGUCAUUAGAAUAAAACCAUUCGAGUUGCUGUUAUAGCAAAAGUAAAGACCUUAUCAUGGGUUUAGUCUAUAAACCAAGAAGGAGCAGGAGUCUGCAAUGAGAAUUGAGUUUUAACUCAAAGAUUAGGAUCGAAAGCCCAAUAGAGAAUGAUGAGCGGGUGCAGGUUUGAGCACCGCUAGUAAUUAAUAAGUUUGAAGAGUUUGACAAUCGUUUGGCAAACUAAAAGUUAAAUAUCGUACAUUUUAGAUUACUACAAAGGAAGUAAGUUAAAACUCGAAUGUUGUGACUAGUAAUUUUCUCGUAAACUCUAGAUUUACUCAAAUCUUAUUUGAUUUCAAUGCCUCGGAUUCUUUCGUGCCUUAUAAAUUCGCAUAUUCUCUUCAAAUUGCUUAUUACGCAAUUGUCCAAUCAUUUCAUAUAGAUAACAUAGGAAAUAUAUCAUUACUUGCUGAUAAAGCCUAUAAAGUUAGUAUUNUAAAUAUCGUACAUUUUAGAUUACCACAAAGGAAGUAAGUUAAAACUCGAAUGUUGUGACUAGUAAUUUUCUCGUAAACUCUAGAUCUACUCACAUCUUAUUUGAUUUCAAUGCCUCAGAUUCUUUCGUGCCUUAUAAAUUCGCAUAUUCUUUUCAAAUUGCUUGUUACGCAAUUGUCCAAUCAUUUCAUAUAGAUAACAUAGGAAAUAUAUCAUUACUUGCUGAUAAAGCCUAUAGAGUUAGUAUUAUAGGAAUUGAAAGUUAUAAUCUUCCUGCUAACCUAAUUCCUAUCUUUGAUAUUAUUCUCGACAUGGAUUGGUUGUUAAAGAACCACGCAGAACUGUUGUGCCACAAAGAGAUGAUAUGCAUCCCUAUCGAAAGGGAAGAUUCUAUUUAUGUCUACGGUGAAAAUAAUAAAUUUCUUUCUUAACAACUCGUAAAUUAUGUCGAAGGGAUAUUCUACUUAUCCGGCUUAUACAGUUAAUACCUUGAAAGAGGAGAAGAAAAAUGUGAAUGAUAACCUUUGGAUAAUUGUCGACAAGCUGACUACGAGUGCAUAUUUUCUCGCCAUACGUACAACGGUUCUAAUGGAGAAAUAAGCACAAGUUUACAUAGACGAAAAUGUGGCGAGACAUGGUGCGCCACUAAAGAUUUUUUCCGAUUGUGAUAAUCGUUUCACUUCUCACUUUUGGGUGAGAAUGAAGCAUGAGUUAGGAUCUCGAGUUGCUCUUAGUACAACUUAUCAUCCUCUGACAAAUGAUCAAAAGAAGAGAGCAAUCCAAAUAGUAGAAAAUAUACUGAAGGUAUAUAAAGUACUGUAUGAGCGUAAAUGUCAUACUCAAAUAUGUUGGCGUGACAUAGGACAGAAGAUCUUUGGAGGAUCUGAAAUGAUUCAAGACAUCACUGACAAGCUACAAAUUUUCCGAGAAAGAAUGAAAGCGGCCCAGGAUCGACAAAUGUCCUAUGCAGAAAAGAGGAGACGACCUGUAGAAUACCGGGUGGAUGAUUUAGUAAUAUUGAAGGUAUUUCAUGAAAAGGCGUUAUUCUACUUUGGAAGAAAGAACAAUUAGUAAGCAAGUUUACUACUUGGAAUUGCCUGAAGAUUUGACAGAUAUUCAUGAAGUGUUUCAUGUGGGCUAUCUGUGUAAAUGUUAAGCAUAUAUGAUGAAAUGGUUCUAUUAUCCGAGGUGAAACUGGAUAAUAAGUUAAGUAGAAGAGAUCGUAAAUGAACAAACGACUAAUCUACAUAAUAAAGAUGUAGAGUUGGUGAUUUUCAUAUAGAAACACCGUCGAGGCUCAAAUUAUACUUGGGAAAAGUAAGAAUGAAAUAAGAGUGAAAUAUCCCUAAUUGUUUUAAUCGUUAUGAUUUUGGGGACGGAAUCCUCAAAAGGAGGAGGUGUUUGUAACAUACACAUUCUGAAAUUGUGUAUUGUUAUUAUUAAAAGUGAAUAAAAUUGAGUGUUGAGUUAUAACAUAUAGUUUUUACUAGAAACGAAGUAAAACUAUGUUUAGAAUCACUCAUAAAAUAUUAGAAGUCUUAUGAGAUUCCAAUUAAUAGCCAAAUAGUGAAAUAUAGCGAAAAUAUAAAAUUUGGAAUAAGUAAAAUUUUGUUAUUGAAAGUUGUAGAAUAUCUCAUUAGAAACAUUUAGGCGAAAACCUAGUCGAAAUCCGAGUUAUAACGAAGAAGUUAUGACCAAACGAAGAUCCGUGAUAAAUCCGGAAAAUAGUUUGUCGCGUAAAAAUUUAGUUUUCGAUAAACUAAUUUUUAGCCUUAGUGAUGUAAAUGAAAGUUGUAGAACUCGUGAAAAUAAUCAACUUUCA
rnacentral:lncRNA from 1 species